UAUCCGUAGGGUAAGUGAUAUCUGAUUUUACGAGUAUUUAUUACCAAAUUUUUUACUAACUUGUCUCUAGUGAACCUGCGGAUGGAUCAUUACCGAGUGAAUCGCAAGAUUCAACUCCCACUCUUGUUUAAGCGGAGACGCUAUCUAACUGGCUCUAAUUGGAGCAAUUUUA
rnacentral:misc_RNA from 1 species